GUUUCGGCGUGGACGUCGACGUCCUGGACGCGCGCCGCUUCUUUCGCCGGCGUCAUCGCGCACCUCGCGUGUUCGCGUGCCGCCGCCGCCGUCCGUUGACGGCGACCUCGUUGCGUCGGUCGUUGCAGCGCUGUCGACGGCGCGCGGGCGUCGUGAGUCCCCGAACGGUGGGGUGUCCGUCGUAUUGGACGCGGCCUUGCCCGACCCGCGUUAUCGGGUACCUCGUAGUGUCACGCAGUGACCCGGGUCGCCGUCGUCCGGGCCGUGCCCCCUCACCCCUCUCAUUCUCUCCAGCCCAAACAUAUGAUCAGUAGGCAUCCUCUCACUUCCUCUCUCUCUCCCUCUCGCGCGCUUUACCCUCUCGACCCCAGCCGUCCAGAUAUCUCUCUUACUCUUGGUAGGAAUCUUGCAUCGCGCAGGUGAUGAGUCCCGGUGCCCUCGACGAGUAGCACCCGUGAGCGCUACUCGAGGAGCGCCCCCCCUCUCCCCCCGUCGCUGUGGCUCAUGCGCCCACCCCCACCCUUCCACCGCUCCCUUCUGCCCCUCUCCCCCCCCCCUCUCUCUCUCUCUCUCUGUCUAUCUCACUCUAUCUCUCCCCCUCUCUCCCUCUCUCUCGCUCUCUUGCUUUGUGCCUCCCCCUCUACUUUCCUCCGUCAUUCGGUAGUUAUUCUUUUAUAGCGAAAAACCGAGGCGCGCGGGUUCCCUCUGUUCCGCAAGUCAGUCAAUGUAAGGUUUCCUCGUUCCUCUGGAGGAGUUGUCACACCGGCGGGCGGGAGCGAGCGAGCGUCGCUGAGUUGGGGGGAGAGAGAAAGAGCGAGAGAGAGAGCGAGAGAGCGCCGCCAUCCUGCUACCUGUCAGAGGCCCUGCCCGAGGCUCACCCGGCCCGCCCCGGCGCGGCACAUGAACUGUUGACAGUCUCGCGUCGUCGGCGACGGAGCCUCCUCCGUCACGUGGACGACGUCGGCAUCACGAUCUUCGACGUGCAUUGAGAUCCCUGACACGGCCGGCGACCCGGUGGACUGUGCGCGUGCGCGUGCGUGUGUGUGCGUGUGUCUGUGUUGUGUUCAAGUGCUCCAAGUGAUUGUGCUUCAGUGCUUUGUGUUGUGCUUACACCGCUUUGUUUUUGUUUUAUUUUAUUCAUUCCGUAUUUUACAAUAUGGUGGCAAAGUGAAUGAUGUGUUGUGUGUUAUUUUCAUUUUAUUUUCAAACCGCUUCCUUUCGCGAGUGAAUGCAGUAGUGUGCUUCAUUUUGUGUUUAAGUUGUUGAUUUUGUGCUUGCGCUUGAUAUGGUGUGCACUGCAAGUAGUGAGAGUGGGAAGUGCUACACUGUGCGUGAGUGCGCGCCACAGAGUUCGUGCGUGUGGUUGGUGUGACCGUGCACUGACAGUGCUGCACUGUGCGUGAGUGUUCGUGCGUCGCGUGCGUGCGUGUGGUGGUGACAGCGGCGUGGACGCCUCUCCCUACCUGUUGAUCUGAGUGGGGCAUAUCGCUCACUGAUUGGAGACCAAGUCAGCUGGGGCCCCUCAGAGUGGCCUCUCUGGGUGGCCGCCAUAUUGGAAUCGGCUUUGUGAAAGGGGACCCCUGCGGCAACCAGUCAGGUUGACUCGAGAACGGGUCUCAUCGACUUUCGGACGCCGGCGGGGGGCCUCAUGUCAGCGACGUCGUCCUCGUGGCCAGGAGGGAGGACACCUCGUCACGUCAACGCCGUCGUCCAGGAUGGUGUAGUCCAGCAUCGUGCAUCAAGUGGCUGCAGCAGCAGCAGCUCCUUGUGACCUUUGGAUGAUGAUGACGAUGGUACUGAAGAUGCUCAGGAAGUUGGGGCAGAGUUCUUACUUCCGGUGCGCGCACACAGUAGUGCGGUGUGUCCGGGACGAUGCCUCGCGAGCGCGUGUGGCAGUGCGUCCCCUGUGUCGGUCGGUACUCGCCGGUACCCGUCGCGCGCGGUACGCACUCGGCCGGAUGUGGCCACCGAUUCAAGAUUCUGUGGAUACGGUGCUUGUGCGUGUGUGUUUGUGUGUGCUUCCGGGCGCCCCCGCCCGAAAAACAUGGAAAACUGGUGGUCGAAGUGGCUGCUCUUCGUCCUUGGAUGUCUGCCGCCGCGGCCCGCGGUCACCGUCCUGCAAGCAAGAUCAAAAUGUGGAUACAAUUACUCACUCUUUUGGAUUUCACAACCGCUCCUCGCUAGGUAGCUGCUAUGCGUCGGGCUCACUCGUCAGUGAUGAUGUGCAGUGCCACCGCACUGACCUGCGCGACAACACCCACGCCGCGGAUGACACCCGACCCGCUUUGGAUAACUUAUAGCUUCAAGAGCGAAGAAUGUCGCCGACGCGCAGCGGAUAACCGGCCACGCCCUGUGCAGACCGCACGUCCAGAGUGUCAUCACUCGCUGCCGACGCCGCGGAUCUGCACCGGUCGCCCGCCAGAUCCGCAGUCGUCGUCCCGAAUUCGGAAGCGACAAGCGACGCUCUACAAACCGCGACCCGCGUGUCGUUAUACGGCCGCCCUAAUUGCCCCAUAAAUCAAUUUGAGCCGUAAAGCCUCCUCCAUAAACACCCACCCACCAGCCGGCCACGUCUUCAUCCACGCGACCGACCGUGCAGCGGUGCACAGGGUGAAAUAAAAUUCAAGUUUAGUCUGCAGGGGUCUGAAAAACAAUUAUGUUAUUUGAAAUAUUGUGUUUCAGGUACACGUUGAGUAUUAUCUGUUGCAUUGCAUCAAUUUGCCAACGUAAUUUAGAAAACUAAAAAUUUACCGAAGAGCAUGACAGAAAAACAUCUCUUCCAAUCUUUUAGCUGUGUAGUUACAGUACCAUCACUAUCAUUUACAGCUUAAAACGUGUGAAACAUUUUUAUUUAAAUUUCUCUCUGAAAGCAAGGUAAUGGUGUAACUAUUUCGGAGUGAUGACCUAUCCUUCCGAAACCAACUGGAAGCAGAACUUCCUGUGACAAAUGAUGCCAGGGCUCGUCGUUCUUUCCUUUGUCCAUCAAUUGGCUGAUUUGAAUUUUGCUCCAGAAGUGCUGCCGUGGCUAAUUAAAAGACAAAGCCACUAACCACGUGACAAGGCGACACCUCUCUCCUCCCUUCCGCUUGCCUCGCUGACCGAACGAGCUGUUUGAAAUUCACUGAAUCCAUAAACACGAGCCAUUAGGAGAUGUAUAAAGAUAAUUUUUACUUUCCGUUUAAUGGCAAAUAAAAUUUUUGAGUGCAGUGUGCCACGGAAGCCGA